AUUCCAGCUCCAAUAGCGUAUAUUAAAGUUGUUGCGGUUAAAAAGCUCGUAGUUGGAUUUCUGUUGAGGAAGUCCGGUCCGCACUUUGUGCGUGAUCUGGUUCUGCCUCGGCAUCCUCGCGGGGAACGCGCUGCGCUUGAUUGCGUGGUGCGGUAUUCGCGACUUUUACUUUGAGGAAAUUAGAGUGUUCACGGCAGGCUAUCGCCUUGAAUACGUUAGCAUGGAAUAAUAAUAUAGGACCUUGGUUCUAUUUUGUUGGUUUCUAGAACUAAGGUAAUGAUUAAUAGGGAUAAUUGGGGGCAUUUGUAUUAACACGUCAGAGGUGAAAUUCUUGGAUUGUGUUACGACAAACUACUGCGAAAGCAUUUGCCAAGGAUGUUUUCAUCG
rnacentral:rRNA from 1 species